rnacentral:rRNA from 1 species
ACAGCAGCCGCCACGGUAAUGCGUAGGUGGCAAGCGUUGUCCGGAAUUAUUGGGCGUAAAGCGCGCGCAGGCGGAUCAGUUAGUCUGUCUUAAAAGUUCGGGGCUUAACCCCGUGAUGGGAUGGAAACUGCUGAUCUAGAGUAUCGGAGAGGAAAGUGGAAUUCCUAGUGUAGCGGUGAAAUGCGUAGAUAUUAGGAAGAACACCAGUGGCGAAGGCGACUUUCUGGACGAAAACUGACGCUGAGGCGCGAAAGCCAGGGGAGCGAACGGGAUUAGAUACCCGUGUAGUCCCUGUCUCUUAUACA